UUAUUAAUUUAUAUAUAUUAUAUAAAAACACUUUCAGCAGUUAACUUUUCCUGGGAAAAAUUCUCUCUCACAUGUUUUCUACCUCUUCUUCCACUAUUCUUUCUUGAUAUUUCUCUUUCACACGUAUCUCUCUUCAUUCACUAUUCUCUACGCCAAUUACAACUUCAAAAAUCAAAAUAAUCCCCAAUAUUGAAACCGUUUGCAUCUAUUCUACACCAUCGGUAAUUCCUCUAAUUUCACUACCAUCGGUAAUUCCUCUAAUUUCACUAUUCUCUAAUUCCACCAUCGAUUGAGUCUUCUGCCGUCAUUCACCAUUCACUCAUCAAACUCUGAUGAAGACUCAUCCGCCAUACCAUUAGCUCAUCAAUGGAUUCAGGGGAGAGAAUAAGAGAAUUGGUAAAUGGGUGAAUAUCGGAGUCAAGUCGUUGCGAAAUUGCUGUUGAGAAUGAGUUGGUGUGCCGAUUGACAAAGACAAUUAAUCACCGAAUAUUGAGAAGUGAAAGGGAGAAGACUCAAGGAUUUUGAAGAAUUUGAGAUAAUGUUUAUGUUAUUUUGCAGACUUUGAGAGAAUAGUUAUGCGGUUCACUAUGAUUGAGAGAAAGAGAAAGAGAUGAGAGAGAUGUGAGAUCUUGAGAAAGAUCUGAAAUAUAGUUAUUUGUUCAGUGUAUCUACCGCCUUACCUGCUGCUUCUCUUACUAGGCAAAAAAAAUAUCGCAUCCAUGAUUGAUUUGUGUCUUAUUGCUUCUUGCUGAUAUCUAGAGAAGGUUAGUAUGGUGUGUUGGUUUCCCUACUACUUGCAUAUAUUUACAAAAUGUUAGUAUAUUGCUCUUCAAUAUCUUUUUUUCAUUGACUCCAUUUCAUUAUUUGAUCCUAGAAUGGUGGAAAACCACCUUCGAGUUAUCAAUCUUGUGUCAAACUUGCUGGGGAGCCCUCUUGGGCCUCAUCUCCAAGAGGUGGAUCAGAAGGAUUAAGAAGGUUGAAAGCUUCUAUGGCAACAAGGAAUGGGUGGCUGAUUUAGAGAAACACAAAGGUGAUCCAUCUUCAUUUAUAAAACCAGCAACAACUGUUUUGUCACCUUACUUAAAAGUUAAAAGUAGGUUAUGCAUAGUGUUUUCGAUUUGUUUAUUUAUGCUAUGUUUCUUUCUUUGCGGAGGAAAAAGAAUCUCUCAUUCGUUUAUGUUAUUGCUCUGUUUUUCUCUUUGUUUAAUCAUUAAGCUUAUUGCGCUCCUUCUUCUUCUUCUUUCUAUUAAUCUUCAUGUUCUCUUCUUCCAUUUCUUUCUCUAUUUUUAUAUUGAUGAAGUCAAGAUGAAUGCUUUUUAUUAUUAUUAUUAGUCUUCUUUCAUUCUUUUUUUCAAUUGUUUUCAGCAACAAUCGA